rnacentral:rRNA from 1 species
CCUACGGGUGGCAGCAGUCGAGAAUUUUUCUCAAUGGGGGAAACCCUGAAGGAGCGACGCCGCGUGGGGGAUGAAGGGCUUCGGCCUGUAAACCCCUGUCAUUUGCGAACAAACCUUACGACCUAAUACGUCGUGAGCUGAUUGUAGCGAAAGAGGAAGGGACGGCUAACUCUGUGCCAGCAGCCGCGGUAAUACAGAGGUCCCAAGCGUUGUUCGGAUUCACUGGGCGUAAAGGGUGCGUAGGUGGUGAGGUAAGUCUGAUGUGAAAUCUCCGAGCUUAACUCGGAAAUGGCAUUGGAAACUACCCCGCUAGAGGGUUGGAGAGGUGACUGGAAUUCUUGGUGUAGCAGUGAAAUGCGUAGAUAUCAAGAGGAACACCAGUGGCGAAAGCGAGUCUCUGGACAACACCUGACACUGAGGCACGAAAGCUAGGGGAGCAA